UAAGCUGACGAGUGGCGAACGGGUGAGUAAUGUAUCGGAACGUGCCCAGUCGUGGGGGAUAACUGCUCGAAAGAGCAGCUAAUACCGCAUACGACCUGAGGGUGAAAGCGGGGGAUCGCAAGACCUCGCGCGAUUGGAGCGGCCGAUAUCAGAUUAGGUAGUUGGUGAGGUAAAGGCUCACCAAGCCGACGAUCUGUAGCUGGUCUGAGAGGACGACCAGCCACACUGGGACUGAGACACGGCCCAG
rnacentral:rRNA from 1 species